rnacentral:rRNA from 1 species
CGGACGGGUGAGUAACACGUGGAUAACCUACCUAUAAGACUGGGAUAACUUCGGGAAACCGGAGCUAAUACCGGAUAAUAUAUUGAACCGCAUGGUUCAAUAGUGAAAGACGGUUUUGCUGUCACUUAUAGAUGGAUCCGCGCCGCAUUAGCUAGUUGGUAAGGUAACGGCUUACCAAGGCAACGAUGCGUAGCCGACCUGAGAGGGUGAUCGGCCACACUAGAACUGAGACACGGUCCAG